rnacentral:lncRNA from 1 species
CAGAUAUUUAACAGAAGAAGACAGAGCCAGGUGAAGAGUUGAAUAAAGAUAUGCUGGUAUUACAAAACUGAGAGAGGAUCCACUUUCCCUGUGCUUUGAUGUGAAUCUUUUGCCCCUGGACAGAUCCCUAACUUUGACCUCCACAUUGUGUGUUGUGAGCUGCUCAGAAAUUGAAGCAUGAUCAUCUGGACUCCACAACUGUGAUAUGCAUCCAACAAAUGGUUAAGAGAAUGGUGGAUGGUUUGUGCAUUCCUCCUUCCCUCUGUCAGGUCCGGGACCUCAUGCGUGUGAGCCAUGUGCCCUACCAUUGAGCCAUGUCCCAGUUCUGAGAAUGCGUACUCUCAGUUCCGUCCAUCCACAUGUACAGAAUGCCGAGAGGUUCCCCCAUUACUGGAUCGCAAGACAAAGAGAUGGAGGAGAAGUUUCCACAUUGCUAUUUGUACAUAGUCUAGAAUUACAUCAAAAUGCUCACCCUGUAUAGGUACAAUUUCUGCUGUGAAAUUUCAAGGGCAUCAUUACUUGGGACCUGAUUUACUUCACUGUUUAUCUCUUUGGUCACCUCCCUCAGCCCA